rnacentral:rRNA from 1 species
GACGAACGCUGGCGGCGUGCUUAACACAUGCAAGUCGAACGGAAAGGCCCUGCUUUUGUGGGGUGCUCGAGUGGCGAACGGGUGAGUAACACGUGAGUAACCUGCCCUUGACUUUGGGAUAACUUAAGGAAACUGGGGCUAAUACCGGAUAGGAGCUACUGCUGCAUGGUGGGGGUUGGAAAGUUUCGGCGGUUGGGGAUGGACUCGCGGCUUAUCAGCUUGUUGGAGGGGUAGUGGCUUAGCAAGGCCUUGAAGGGUGGCCGGCCUGAGAGGGUGACCGGCCACAUUGGGACUGAGAUACGGCACAGACUCCUCCGGGAGGCAGCAGCGGGGUAUAUUGCACAAUGGGCGGAAGCCUGGUGCAGCAACGCCGCGUGCGGGAUGACGGCCUUCGGGUUGUAUACCGCUUUCGCCUGUGACGAAGCGUGAGUGACGGUAAUGGGUAAAGAAGCACCGGCUAACUACGUG